AUUGAACGCUGGCGGCAUGCCUUACACAUGCAAGUCGAACGGUAACAGGUCUUCGGAUGCUGACGAGUGGCGAACGGGUGAGUAAUACAUCGGAACGUGCCUAGUAGUGGGGGAUAACUGCUCGAAAGAGUGGCUAAUACCGCAUGAGAUCUACGGAUGAAAGCAGGGGAUCGCAAGACCUUGUGCUACUAGAGCGGCCGAUGGCAGAUUAGGUAGUUGGUGGGAUAAAAGCCUACCAAGCCGACGAUCUGUAGCUGGUCUGAGAGGACGAUCAGCCACACUGGGAGUGAGACACGGCCCAGACUCCUACGGGAGGCAGCAGUGGGGAAUUUUGGACAAUGGGCGCAAGCCUGAUCCAGCAAUGCCGCGUGCAGGAUGAAGGCCUUCGGGUUGUAAACUGCUUUUGUACGGAACGAAAAGCCCUGGGUUAAUACCCUGGGGUCAUGACGGUACCGUAAGAAUAAGCACCGGCUAACUACGUGCCAGCCGCCGCGGUAA
rnacentral:rRNA from 1 species